CUCCAGGACAUGCUCAGCGAAAUUGAAUUCCCCGUGAAGAUGCGGGGUUCCCGCGGUUAGACGGAAAGACCCCGUGCACCUUUACUGCAGCUUCAGAGUGGCAUUAGGAAAGAACUGUGUAGCAUAGGUGGGAGGCUUUGAAGCGUUGGCGCCAGCUGACGUGGAGCCAUAGGUGAAAUACCACCCUGUUGUUUUCUGAUGUCUAACCUCGAUCCAUGAAACUGGAUCAGGG
rnacentral:rRNA from 1 species